rnacentral:rRNA from 1 species
GACAGAGGAUGCAAGCGUUAUCCGGAAUGAUUGGGCGUAAAGCGUCUGUAGGUGGCUUUUUAAGUCUGCCGUCAAAUCCCAGGGCUUAACCCUGGACAGGCGGUGGAAACUACCAAGCUGGAGUACGGUAGGGGCAGAGGGAAUUCCUGGUGUAGCGGUGAAAUGCGUAGAGAUCAGGAAGAACACCGGUGGCGAAGGCGCUCUGCUAGGCCGUAACUGACACUGAGGGACGAAAGCUAGGGGAGCGAAUGGG